UACGGAGGGUGCAAGCGUUAUCCGGAUUCACUGGGUUUAAAGGGUGCGUAGGUGGGCAGGUAAGUCAGUGGUGAAAUCUCCGGGCUUAACCCGGAAACUGCCGUUGAUACUAUUUGUCUUGAAUAUAGUGGAGGUGAGCGGAAUAUGUCAUGUAGCGGUGAAAUGCUUAGAUAUGACAUAGAACACCUAUUGCGAAGGCAGCUCGCUACACUAUUAUUGACACUGAGGCACGAAAGCGUGGGGAUCAAACAGG
rnacentral:rRNA from 1 species